GUUAAAAUUAAUGUAAUCCAUUAAAAUCAAGAACUACGAGUGAAAAAAUGUAGGCAACUAUCACAGUUUUAGUAAAACAGAAAUUGAGAGAAUAUUUCACUGGGAGAAUCACACUAAAAAUAAUAAUAAAGGCAGAAAUUCUCCAACAGAAGUAAAUCCAUUCCAGUUGAAAUCAUGGUGAUGCAGAAAGUUACGAAGAGUACCGUAAAGACUCACACAAAACUUAUGUGGCCAGGAUCUCUGAACUCCAAAUGUUGCUGAUUCACAGUGUCUCCUCUGACUAUGACCCUGACUUAUCUUUGAGAAAUUUGAAAUUCAUUUUCUCUAGAAUGAACAUCCUUGGAUCUAAAGGCCUUCAUGCCAGACAUGAAGAAGGAAGCUGCAUGUUCAGAACAAGACAGACGUGCUGUCCCUUACCCACCUCCGUCAGCCUCCUCGUUCAUGGUGAACCUCUACACUCUUCAUUCUGGUCUUUAGACCCAAGAAAUGCUGGACAUCUUUUACCUUCAGCAGAUUCUAAUCUCUCUCUGGCUCUAUCUUCUUUUAGGACUAAUUCCCUGAAACGCCUUCAUAAUUCAUUUGAAGACUUAGCUCACUCAUCAGUAAAAGCUCCUUUAUCUCAGUCAC